GGAGGCGUGGCUGAGUGGUCGAAAGCGGCGGUCUUGAAAACCGUUAGGGUGCAAGCUCUCGUGGGUUCGAAUCCUACCGCCUCCGCCA
rnacentral:tRNA from 1 species